rnacentral:rRNA from 1 species
UACGUAGGGUGCAAGCGUUGUCCGGAAUUAUUGGGCGUAAAGAGCUCGUAGGCGGUUUGUCGCGUCUGCUGUGAAAACUCGGGGCUCAACUCCGGGCCUGCAGUCGAUACGGGCGGACUAGAGUUCGGCAGGGGAGACUGGAAUUCCUGGUGUAGCGGUGAAAUGCGCAGAUAUCAGGAGGAACACCGGUGGCGAAGGCGGGUCUCUGGGCCGAUACUGACGCUGAGGAGCGAAAGCGUGGGGAGCGAACAGG